UCCUCUUCUCUUUCAAAAAAAAAACUUAUUGAAAUUAAAACUCGAUGAGAUCUUUUGGGUGCAUGCUAGGACACCGAUCAUUACGACCUGAUUUACACCCAUUAGACCUAGAGCUAGAAAAAAUGAUUCAAAUAAACCAAAUCAAAACCAUGGAUCCAAAAUAAGAGACUGACCCACCACGAUAAUUGAGAGAGUAUUUUACUCUCUCAUCUU
rnacentral:lncRNA from 1 species